GUGUCAGCAGCCGCGGUAAGACGAAGGAUGCAAGCGUUAUCCGGAUUCAUUGGGUUUAAAGGGUGCGUAGGCGGACUUGUAAGUCAGUGGUGAAAUCUCUUCGCUUAACGAAGAAACUGCCAUUGAUACUGCAGGUCUAGAGUAUAGAUGACGUUGGCGGAAUAUGACAUGUAGUGGUGAAAUACUUAGAUAUGUCAUAGAACACCGAUUGCGAAGGCAGCUAACGAAACUAUAACUGACGCUGAGGCACGAAAGUGCGGGGAUCAAACAGGAUUAGAAACCCCCGUAGUCC
rnacentral:rRNA from 1 species